AGUAACACGUGAGUAACCUGCCCCCUUCUUCUGGAUAACCGCAUGAAAGUGUGGCUAAUACGGGAUAUUCUGCGCCUGCUGCAUGGUGGGUGUGGGAAAGAUAUUGUUUCGGUGGGGGAUGGGCUCGCGGCCUAUCAGCUUGUUGGUGGGGUGAUGGCCUACCAAGGCGGUGACGGGUAGCCGGCCUGAGAGGGUGGACGGUCACACUGGGACUGAGACACGGCCCAG
rnacentral:rRNA from 1 species